CGGACGGGUGAGUAAUGUAUGGGGAUCUGCCUGAUGGCGGGGGAUAACUACUGGAAACGGUAGCUAAUACCGCAUAACGUCGCAAGACCAAAGAGGGGGACCUUAGGGCCUCUUGCCAUCGGAUGUGCCCAGAUGGGAUUAGCUAGUAGGUGGGGUAACGGCUCACCUAGGCGACGAUCCCUAGCCGGUCUGAGAGGAUGAUCAGCCACACUGGGACUGAGACACGGCCCAG
rnacentral:rRNA from 1 species